rnacentral:rRNA from 1 species
UUGGAGAGUUUGAUCCUGGCUCAGAACGAACGCUGGCGGCGUGCCUAACACAUGCAAGUCGAACGCGAAAGUCCUUCGGGAUGAGUAAAGUG